UACGGGGGGGGCAAGCGUUGUUCGGAAUUACUGGGCGUAAAGGGCUCGUAGGCGGCCAACUCAGUCGGACGUGAAAUCCCUCGGCUUAACCGGGGAACGGCGUCCGAUACUGGAUGGCUUGAGUUUGGGAGAGGGAUGCGGAAUUCCAGGUGUAGCGGUGAAAUGCGUAGAUAUCAAGUGGAACACCAGUGGCGAAGGCGAGUCUCUGGACAUUUCCUGACGCUGAGGCACGAAAGCCAGGGGAGCAAACGGG
rnacentral:rRNA from 1 species